UACAGAGGGUGCGAGCGUUAAUCGGAAUUACUGGGCGUAAAGCGUGCGUAGACGGCUAUCUAAGUCGGGUGUGAAAGCCCCGGGCUCAACCUGGGAAUUGCAUUCGAGACUGAAUAGCUAGGGUACGGUAGAGGGAAGUGGAAUUUCCGGUGUAGCGGUGAAAUGCGUAGAUAUCGGAAGGAACACCGGUGGCGAAGGCGGCGACCUGGGUAGAUACUGACGCUGAGGUGCGAAAGCGUGGGGAGCAAACAGG
rnacentral:rRNA from 1 species